ACAGGGAUUGCCCUAGUAACGGCGAGUGAAGCGGCAACAGCUCAAAUUUGAAAUCUGGCGUCUUCGGCGUCCGAGUUGUAAUUUGCAGAGGGCGCUUUGGCAUUGGCAGCGGUCCAAGUUCCUUGGAACAGGACGUCACAGAGGGUGAGAAUCCCGUACGUGGUCGCUAGCCUUUACCGUGUAAAGCCCCUUCGACGAGUCGAGUUGUUUGGGAAUGCAGCUCUAAAUGGGAGGUAAAUUUCUUCUAAAGCUAAAUACUGGCCAGAGACCGAUAGCGCACAAGUAGAGUGAUCGAAAGAUGAAAAGCACUUUGGAAAGAGAGUUAAAAAGCACGUGAAAUUGUUGAAAGGGAAGCGCUUGCAGCCAGACUUGCCUGUAGUUGCUCAUCCGGGUUUCUACCCGGUGCACUCUUCUAUAGGCAGGCCAGCAUCAGUUUGGGCGGUUGGAUAAAGGUCUCUGUCAUGUACCUCUCUUCGGGGAGAACUUAUAGGGGAGACGACAUGCAACCAGCCCGGACUGAGGUCCGCGCAUCUGCUAGGAUGCUGGCGUAAUGGCUGUAAGCGGCCCGUCUUGAAACACGGACCAAGGAGUCUAACAUCUAUGCGAGUGUUUGGGUGUCAAGCCCGAGCGCGUAAUGAAAGUGAACGGAGGUGGGAACCUUUCGGGGUGCACCAUCGACCGAUCCUGAUGUCUUCGGAUGGAUUUGAGUAAGAGCAUAGCUGUUGGGACCCGAAAGAUGGUGAACUAUGCUUGAAUAGGGUGAAGCCAGAGGAAACUCUGGUGGAGGCUCGCAGCGGUUCUGACGUGCAAAUCGAUCGUCAAAUUUGGGCAUAGGGC
rnacentral:rRNA from 1 species